AACCGGUUGAACCGGGGCCCAAACCGGACCCAUGGGUUCAACCGGGCCCCUAACAUAAAUGAAGCAGCAGCUUCAUCUUCUCCAUUUCACCACAGCAACGAAAAACACAGCAAGGGGGAGAAGAGAAGAAACCUAACCCUCACCAUUCCUUCCAACUACCAUAACUUCCUCAUCCGGGCUCCGAUUGCCGCACCGUUCGCGGCCACGCGCUCAGCGCGUUGAGCUCUACCUUUCUAUCCAAACAAUUUCUCUGGUUCAAGUUAGCUUCCGGAACUUGUGGGCUCAAGCUAUUGAGCAUAUGGGUAUGGUGUAGUUUAAGAGGGUGCUUAUGCAUUGAACUUGAAUUUGGAUUACUUGGAGCUUUGUUGGUGACAAGGCUUGCUUUGGGGCUGUUUGAUUGAGCUUGGAGGGGCUGUGAUUUUAUGUUGAGAAGCUGCCUUGGGUGAAUUAAGUGAUCAGCCAAGAUGCAGGUCGAGAGGCUCCUCGCUAGGCAUCUGGAUUCUGGAAAGCGAAGUAGUCCUUGGGUGUAUUUUGGUUUCUAUUUGUAUAUAUGUAUAUAUAUGUGUAGCUUACUCUCCAAGUAACUUAUGUAUGCCGCUCCUCUUAGAGGUUGAGGGAGAGAUAGGAGUUUACUUUGGUAUUUUGGUAUAUUUUGGGGACACUUAUCUAUGUUUAUAUGUAUAUAUGUAUCCUCCGGCCAGCCUUAGCUUCGCAGGCUGAGUCAGAGGCUAGUUAUGCUGUUCCUUGGCUUUUCUUUAUCCCUUCGUUUAUUGUUUUAUCAUGUUCCUAUUAGGUUUCUU